GCACACACACACACGCACACACACUCACGCAGAGCCUACAUGUGCACCAUGAAGAGGAAGGAAGUCUCAUGGAGCUGGGGAUUUAAAGAAUCUGCACACUAGACUUGAAUGUAUUCAACUUGAGCUUGUGUUUGAUUAAAUUAAAACACUCUGGAUUGUCCUGGACUAUUUUAUUAUCCGUGAAGUAAGCUGACUGGCACCGGCGAUUUAAAAUCCAGUAAUAAUAAUAAUAGUGAUUAAGUUUGGUUAAAGUAAAUCUGGACGUAUUUUAGAGAGGGAGAAAUAAAAACAGACAGCGCCAUAUGAAGCUGGUUUCUUGGGAUGAGUUUGGGACAAUCAAAGCUGGUUAACCUGAGGAAUGCUGUCUGGAGCGCUGGAAUGUUUUUGGAAAACCGGCUUGUUUGGGAGCUGCUGGAUGGAGGAGGAGAGGAGAGGAGAGGAGCGGAGCGGAGAGGAGAGGAGAGGAGAGGAGAAGCCAGACCAACCACAUCAAGCUUUCCUAUGCAUACACGCAGAUUGCGACUGGGAUUGAAUACACUGAGACCCAGGAGAUUUAGAGAAGGGGGCGUGUGCCUGGAAUAAACGCCGAAGACGUCUCGAAUAAUGGAGGUGACGUCAUCGCAGCUGUGUGGUCAGAGUGUGGCACCGAACGAGCGAAGGUGUUCCCGGGCCACGCUGCUCCCCCGUCCCGAACAGUAAGAGUUUAUGUGCUGUGGGAACCUCGGGAAUCGGCGUAUACACUCUUACAGUUCAGGGCGACCGGGAGACCAUCCUUCUCCUGCAAAGAGGACAUAGCCGUUUAAAACAAGGGCUUAGACUGUGAAUUGUGGAUCCCCUUUUGAAAGUUUCCCGCAGUAAAAGCACAGCAGAGUGUAAUCAAGCGUAGGCAAUGCACGGUAAAGUAUAGGCACGCAUUGUAAAGCCCAGAGCGGCGCUGUAAAGCUGCUUUUAAACACAGCAAACCACGGUAAACUGUUUUAAACGCAGAGUAUAACCAUGGGCUACAUUACCGUGCAAAUGCUCCGUGGAAACUUUUCGAAGGGUCGCUGAAUUGUGAUCAUUUCUUAGAAGACAUGCACUGAAUAGGACAAACGUUCUUGAAUGAUGAAUAAAUGUGACUGAUAGAUACGA